rnacentral:lncRNA from 1 species
UACUAAAGAAUCUGAAGCUUCCCAGGAUAAUCUAGUUUUGCAAGAAAAUGCAUUGAACGAAAUGGAAGAAACCCUUCCUUCAGCAACUGAGGAUAGAGUUGCAGUGUGCUCACCUGAGAAGGAUAAUUUAACUGCUUGCUCAGAAGCACCCCAGGAAUCCGAAAAGUGUGAAAAUGUGCAAGGAUCGGUCUGAGGAAGAACCUGGCCAGUUUCUGUGGCUGAAGAAGCCAAAAAAGAUUGAAACUAAUUGUUGGCCAUGGGGCAAGUCUAUAAAAAAAAUUACCCAUCCUUAAAAACAACGUCGAUAUGCAACUUAACGUGUCAGAUCAGUUUUUGUUAAUGCUGUGAUCGCCGUGAAUACCAAAAAAAAAAAUCACCCAUCCUUAAAAACGACGUCGAUAUGUAACUUAACAUGUCAGAUCAGCUUUUGUUAAUGCUGUGAUCGCUGUGAAUACCAAAAAAAAAAAAAUUGCUGUGGUUGCCGUCAUUAGAAAUAACAAAAUGACUAACGUGUCUAACUGAAAACCUUUUAAGCACAGAUUUGAUUAAAAAAAAUUGGGAUAAAUUUGAAAAAUGAGUGAUAUUUUAGAGAUGAAUUUAACUAUUUACUAUACAGGGGAAGGAUGAGUGAAACGCACACACAUGGGAGAGGGUAGGGUAAAACACAGAAAGAAAAAUUGCACCAAGGGCUGAUAAGAUGGUUCAACUUGAUUUUGGGAGUUGCAUAAACUGAACCAUUUGAUUUAUUUUUUACAAAAUUAAGAAAAUGUAUAAUAUUAAAAUUUGACUUUUCAAUUUUUAUUUCUUAUAAAAUUAAAUAAUUUAUCACAUCGAAAUCGGACACUCAGGAUUUUUCGUUUUACAAAAUUUAAAGGGUAAAGUACUAAAUUGGUCCCCUAGGUUUGGGCGUAAUUCUGUUUUGGUCCUUAAGAUUUAAAGUGUUCUAUUUGAAUCCAAAACGUUUUCAUUUAGCAUCAAUUUAGUCCCACAGUGAGGUCAAAAUUAAAUAAUUAACAAAAUGUCCUACAUAACAACAGUUCAAGAACAAAAUCGAUAAUUUGGAGAACAAGUACAAGCUCCAGAGGCAUAAAAUCAACCAUUGAUACAUCAAUACAUUUAUUUAUUAUUUUUUAUAAUAUAAAUAAAAUAUUUUCUAUAAAACUAAAGAAAAUGAUAAAUAAAUGUAUUGAUGCAUCAAUGGUUGAUUUUGUGCCUCUAGAGCUUGUACUUGUUCUCCAGAUUAUCGAUUUUGUUCUUGAACUGUUGUUAUGUAGGACAUUUUGUUAAUUAUUUAAUUUUGACCUCACUGUGGGACUAAAUUGAUGCUAAAUAAAAACGUUUUGGAUUCAAAUAGAACACUUUAAACCUUAAGGACCAAAACAGAAUUACGCCCAAACCUAGGGGACCAAUUUAGUACUUUACCCAAAUUUAAAAUGUUUAAAAUUACAAAAUCGAAUAUCAAUUUGUUGAAUUCUGAAUUAAAAAAAUUGCAAAGCGCACGUCCAAUUUUUAUUUUUGCUUAACAAAAUUACAUAUUUUGGGGAAACGCCAAAAAUGGCAAUAUAUAUGAAAAUAACACUUUCUGAACCUUUAUUAAAAGUUUUUAACUGUGUCUAUCCGGCAAAGUUGUCAAUAAAGGGGGGUUUAAUACUCUAUUAUGUAAUAUUUUUCACAUUUUGUGUCAAUUAAUUUUUUAUUUAUAAAAUAAAAAACAUUUUUAUGAAGUUAAUUAAAAUAAAAAGAAAUUUAAUAAUUUAAUAAUCUAUAAAAAAAUAAAAAAACGGAAUUAAUUAAUUUGGGAUUUAUAUGCCUUUAAAAUGGAUUAAGUAUAAACUUUUAGUUAUUACAGAAAAAAUUGGCAAUACCUGCCAAAUCAUCCCAUCAAAACCAAUUGUCACUUAAUUUUAAUCAAUCUUUAUUAACAGUAGAAAAAAAUGUUGUCUACUAUUAAUUCAUCUAAAAGUUAGUUUUAUAUGGAUUUUCAUAUUAAUUCAUUGUUUUAUUUUUUAUUGUUCUAAGAGCUGAAGAUGAAGAUGUUACAUGCAAUUCGGUUUAUUGCAAAGAGAAACCUCUUGUAAAAUGCAUUUGGAUUUUGUUGACAACCUUUUCUACUUUUCUUAUAUGUUGCGAGAUACAUUUCACAAGAUUAAUUGAGAGAAAUUUGAGAUGAUAUAUUUAUUUAAUAAAGUUCCAAGCAAAAUACUUAACUAAGUCUAAUCAAGUUGUUAUAACAAAAUUUUAAAUCACGCACCUUCUCCUUUUCAUUCUUCUUCUUCUUUUAAAUUUGCGCACGCAGGUUCUUCUUCUUCUUCUCCCCCAAUAUUGCGUCUUCUUCUUUUUCAUUAUCGUCAUCACCAAUAACAAUAACAUUUUGCAAACAUUUUUAUUAGUUUUGAUUUUUUCUAUGCCAUCGUUAAAAAUUUCGGUCCAUUUUUUAAUUUAUUUCGGUUUAUUUGUUUGUUAAUUGAGGUUUACUCGAUGUUGCUGAUAGAUAUUUGACCAAAUUUUUUAUUCCUUAAGUAAUUUUGGUUCAUUUCUUAAUUUAAUUGAGGUUUAUUUAGAUCCAAAAAUGAAUUCGACGUAUUUUUGUUAAUGAUUGUGUCUUUUUGAUUGUUUGUUCAAAUCUGAACUAAUUUCGGUUUAUUUGUGUGCUAAUUGAGGUUCACUUGAUGCUGUUGAUAAGUAUUGACUAAAUUUUUUAUUUCUUAAGUAAUUUUAGUUCAUUUCUUAGUUUAAUUGAGGUUCAUUUGGAUCCAUAAAUGAAUUUGAUGUGUUUUUGUUGAUGAUUGAGUUUUUUUGACAGCUUGUUCAAAUCUGAACUAAUUGAAUAAAAUAGAGUGAAAUCUAAUGCAAUUUAAUAAAGUGAUAAUGAAUAAUUUUAUUCUUUAUUAAAAAUUUGGUCAAUACUUAUCAGCACUUCAGCGGCAUCAAGUGAACAUCAAUUAACACAAACACGUCAAAUUCAUUUUUGGAUCUAAAUGAACUUCAAAUAAACUAAGAAAUAAACCAAAAUUACUUAAAAAAUAAAAAAUUUGGUCAAUACUUAUCAGCAUUAUCAGGUGAACUUCAAUUAACACAAAUGAACCCAAAUUAGUUCAGUUUUGAACAAGCAGUCAAAAAGAAUCAAUCAUCAACAAAAACACAUACAAUUUAUUUCUGGAUCCAAAUGAAUCUCAAUUAAACUAAGAAAUAAACUGAAAUUACUUAAGGAAUAAAAAAUUUGGUCAAUACUUAUCACCAGCAUCAAGUGAACCUCAAUUAAUUCACAAAUGGACUGAAAUUAGUUCAAUUUUGAACUAGUCAAAAAGACUCAAUUAUCAACAAAAUACAUCGAAUUUAUUUCUGGUUCUAAAUGAACCUCAAUUAAAUGGAGGAAAAGAAAAAACGUAGUAACAACAGUAGCAAUAAAAGAAUGAUGAUUGAGAGAAGAAGAAGACACGCGAAGAAGAAGGAGGAAGACGAAGAAGAAGAAGGAGGAAUGAAAAGACGAAGAAGGAGGAAAGCGAAGAAGAAGAAGGAAGAACGCGAAGAAGAAAGAACGCGAAGACAAAGAAGGAGGAUAUGUUUUGCGUUAUUGAAAAGCGUGUGUGUACACGCUGGUGUGAUGGAAGUUAUUUUUGUUGAGUUUGGGCCAACCUUAGUUGGACUUGGUUACCAAAAACACUUAGAUGUGUAGUGGGAAUAGAUCCUCUCAAUUGUUAAAAAAAAAAAUUGAAGGAGUAAAGUGUGAUCUCUAACCAUUCUUUGCUCUCUCUCAUAUUUUUUUAGUCCCACUUAUAAAAUUAAUAGUGAAAGAUCACAUUUUACUCUCUUAAUUGUUAAAAAAAAUUAAGAGGAUCCAUUUCCAUGUAUACUUAGCAAUUAAUAUUUUUUUUAGUUAAAAUAUCUUUUUUUACUUCAAUUAUGGCAAUUAAUCAAUAAUUUUCGAUAGAUGUNNNNNNNNNNNNNNNNNNNNNNNNNNNNNNNNNNNNNNNNNNNNNNNNNNNNNNNNNNNAUAUUAUAAAAGAUUUAUUUAUUUAGUACUACAAAUGGUUGGAAAUUAGGUUUAGUAUUUUCAAGAACAAUUUUUUUUUGAAAGAGCUCAACACGCAAGUGGAACAAAGUAAGACUAAGAUAAUAAUAAAACAAGAAAGGCAUAACAAUUCCUAUGUCAUCUCCGGCAUAGCCAUCAACAACAUGAGUUAUUUACAACACCACUCCGUAGCACAUGAAAAUGAUUGCUGCACACAGUCGCCAAUUUCUGUUAUCUUGCUGUGAAAAAUGGCAUCAUUUCAGCGUAACCAAAUAUUCCAUAUAACUGAAAAGUAUCCAAGUAGCCAAUAGUUGCGCCUCUCUUUUCUCAUCUGCACUGAUCUCCAACUCUCAAAGUGGUCUUUCAAGGUACCCGGGACAACCCACGUCUGUCCAAACGCCGAGAUCCAAGCACACCACAGCUGCCAAGAGUACUCACACGUAAUAAAUAAAUGUUGUAUAUUUUCAACUUCUUUCUUACACAGCACGCACAAAUUAUCAUUCUGUUGUAGUAUCCCCAACCUACUUAGUCGGUCCUUUGUAUUGACCCGACCUACCAAAACAAACCAAGCAAAUAACUCCACUCGAGGUGGAACUAGGCCUUUUUCAGAUCUCGUUUGUGAACCUGUAUCUCAGAAGCUCCUCGUCCAAAGUCUCUUCCUGUAACACCUGCACAAAUGAGUUAGUAGAAUAAAUGCCUUCCUUAUCAAAUUUUCAGACCACUCUAUCUUGCACAUCUGCUAUCAGUCUAACAGAUUGCAAGGCAUGAAGCAGUUGGUUCAAUGUGUCUGUCUUCCAUUGUCGUAGUUCUCUUCUCCAUUGAAAGUGCCAGACCCACUCUAUCCCAUCCCAGAACCCACACUCCCCAAUAACUAAUCCUUUUUGGUUUGAAAUCAAGAAGAGUCUCGGAAAGGAGUCAUUUAGCUUCCCCACUUGCAGCCAUGUAUCCUCCCAAAAUCUGGUGGAUCUUCCAUCUCCUACUUUCAUAGCAAGGCCAUCAAUCAUCUUCUGCCUGACAUGUUGCUCCCUUAUUUGUACUUGACAUAUGUCUCUCCACGGUCCUCCUUUUUUCAGCAAUGUCUAAGUUGACAACAUGUGAUUUGGGUUCAAACUAUUGCAGGAGCAUACAAUCUUUUUCCAUAGGGGGCAGUUCUCCUUAGAGAACCGCCACCACCAUUUAAAUAGUAAAGCCGUAUUCCGGACCACCGCAUCACCCACCCCCAAUCUUCCUAACUUCUUUGGUGCCUGGAUCAGCUCCCACUUCACAAGGGCCAUACCAGGUCGACCAUCAUCCUUCCCCCAAAAGAACCUCAUCUGCAAGGAUAUAAUUCUUCGUGCAACCGCAUUAGGCAUCUUGUACAAACUCAAAUAAUAAAUAGGUAGGCUGUUAAUUACCGAUUUAAUAAGUAUCAGCUUACCAGCCUUGCUAAGGAUCUUUGCUUUCCACAAGCUGAGUUUCUUUUCCACUUUAUCUAGAACCGGCUUUCAAGUUUUUACCAACCGCGGAUUCGCUCAUAGGCUAAUGCCCAGGUACCUCACCGGUAGAGCUGCCUUUUGACAACCUAGUAGCUGGCACAUCCGAUUGACCCACUCCGAGCUGCAGUUCACUGGUACCAAGUUAGACUUCUCAAAGUUAAUACUCAAUCCAGACAUCAUUUCAAAACACCUCAGGAGCCUCUUAUAGUUUCUCAGUGUCUCCUCCUCCGGUGGGCUGAACAAUAUAGUGUCAUCAGCAAAUUGUAAGUGUGACAACUCUAUAUUGUCCCUACCUACUAAGAGUGGAGAUAUCCGACCAUUUCUAACUGCCUCCCCGAUCAUCCUGUUAAGCACAUCCACCACUAGAACAAACAAAAACGGCGAUAAAGGGUCACCUUGACGCAGUCUCCUCUCCAUCUUGAAUGGUUUCGAUGGUGACCCAUUCACCAGAAUAGAGAUAGAAGCCGAUGUAACACACUCCCUAAUCCACGCCCUCCAUGUUCUUCCAAAGCCCAUCUUCUCCAGCACGGUAUCAACAAAGCACCAUUUGACUCUGUCAUAGGCUUUUUGGAAGUCGAGUUUAAUAAUCGCUGAUGCCUUCUUCUUCAGUUUUAACCAUUGCACAGUUUCACAUGCAAUUAACGCUCCAUCAUGUAUCUUUCUCCCCUUCACAAAGGCACUCUGUGAUUCUCCAACUAAGCCUGGCAUAACACUCCUCAUCCUACGUGUCAACAAUUUAGAGAUUACCUUAUAGACACAGCCGACCAUACUAAUAGGUCUGAGAUCUUUUAUCUCCUUAGCCCCAACGAAUUUCGGAGCCAGCGCUACCCAUGUGAGAUUAGCGUCUGCUGGUAAUUUUGCUGUCACAAAGAAAUCCAUCACAGCUGCAGUGAAUUCUGUUCCAAUCUCAUUCCAACACUUUUUUAUAAAAUACAUGUUGUAUCCAUCACUCCCUGGAGCCUUAGAAGAUUCACAAUCCCUAACUGCCUCCUUCACUUCCUCUACUGACGAUAGUGCCUCUAAGGUUUCCGCUUCCUCCCUCUCUAAACGAUUAACUAAUCCAUUUCUAAAAGUCACCCUUGGGGAUGCUUCCUGGUGGUACAGGCGUUUGUAAAAGUCCCGAACCGCAAUCUUGAUUCUUGCUUGAUUCCUCACUAUCCUCCCAUUAAGCACCAACGACUCAAUCAUGUUAUUCCUUCUUCUCGCCGAAGCUAUAUUAUGGAAGUACCUUGUGUUCCGAUCCAUCUAAUUGGCGUGCCGAGAUCUUGACAUUUGCUUCCAAUGCAUCUCCUGUCUUAGAUACCACUUUUCGCAACACCUCACUAAUGCCUUUCUCCUAGCAUCUACCAUCAUACCGUCCACUACUAACCAUAUCAUCCACCUUUCUGAUUUCUUCCUCAAGCUUCUUAAUCCGCUCAGCCAUAUCCCCAAAAUGCUCCUUGUGCCAUCUUCAUAGUGGUUCUGACUGUACUUUCAUUUUCUGUAAGAAUUGUACGUCGCCUAGUUCCUUCCAUUCUUCCUUGACCAUUCUCAAGAACCCUUCAUGAGUGAACCACGAGUUCAAGCUACGGAACAGUCUUGGGCCAUCAACUCUUCUGUUGUCUUCCAUAAUCAAAGGGCAGUGAUCCGAUAAGCCUCUCGGGCCACUCCUUAGACGCGUCUCUGGGUACACAUCAAGCCACCCCAAGGAGACUAGGCUCCUAUCGAUGCGACUGCAUGACUGUCCUCUAAACCAUGUAUACUUUCAGUCAUUCAAUGCCAAAUCAAUCAACUCCAUAUCAUUUAUCCAUGUCCUAAACUUUGCCACAGACGCUGAUAAUGUAGUCGCUCAUUUCCUUUCUUCUAAAUGCAAAAUUUCAUUAAAAUCUCCCAAAAUACAAAGCGGCACCUGACACAAUCCUGCAAUAUAACUCAAUUCUUUUAACAUGGAGAUCUUCUCAGCUCUAUCAUGCGGUCCAUACACUAAGCAAAUAGCACAAUGAAAGUUAUCUUUUACCACAACUCCUUCUAUACACAUCCAUCUGUCCCCUUUAUAGCAGUUAUACAGUUUAAAGGCCGCUUCAUCCCACAUUAGCAAUAACCCUCUAGAAGCCCCAACAUAACUUACUGACUCCCAACAUGUUCUGUCACUUCCCCAAAUACGCACAACAUCAAAUUUAGUUAUUAACUCCUUUUUUGUUUCUAUCAGGCCCAACAUAUCCAACCUAAACUUAUUUUUGAAAGACUUUAGCAUACUAACUUUUGCAGCACCUCCCAACCCCCGUAUAUUCCAAGAACUAAAUAUCAUUUAACCAAAUUAUUACACACCUGUUUACGGUUUUUUGGCCGGCUUCUUCGGGCCUUUUCUUUUUGCUUAGCCUACUGCCGUUUGAUAGCAAUAGCUUCAUUUUACUCUUACAGAAUUGCCAUGAUGUCCUCUUCAUCACUGCACUGAGCUCCUGACUCUACAGCUAGUUUUCAAGCCUCUUUGUUCUCAGCCAUCUCCUCCUCCCAACUUGGCCUCUGUUCCUCAGGGUCUAAGUUCCUACCAUCAUCCAAACUAUCUCCUGUCUCUGAACCUGAUUCUGCACUAUUCUCCUUUUCUUCCUCUUCUCCGUUACCAUUUUGAGCCAACCCAUCCAGCAAGAUCUCCCCCUCUUCCGGUCCCAACCCAGGCUUGCCUCGAAUCUGCCGGUCUGCUUCUGCUGUAUUGCAAUUUCUGCUCCUGCCAACAACAUUACCCUGGCCCGUAUCUCCUUCCAUUUGCGUCCUCCUUGACUCGUCCAAGCUACAGGGAAUUCGGUGGGCAUGCAUAGGUUCAGCCUUCAAGGUCAUCUCCUUCCUUAGUUCAUUAUCGUCGAUGGUUGCUGCCACAGCUGAGGUCGAUCCUUCAUCAAGCCCACCCUCCGCUUCCUCCGGUGCGCCCUCCUCUGUCUCGCAGCGUGGUCCACAUCCCUCAUCUGCCCAGUUUCGCGCCUUCCCCCUUGCAACAUUCAUGCGUCCAUGCUCAGGACCCGCGCUUACUUGCCUUCUUCCCUGCCGGGUUGGCACGUCGGAUACACCCCUAGCCUCCGACUCGGUGCGUCCCAGAUCCUGCUCCCCCUCAUGGCGCAUCCCGUCGUGUUCUUCCCAGCGCCAUGGAGCCGUCGUUCUCAAAGGACCCUAAACCAAGGGCAUGGGAUCCUGUCGGGUCAUAGAUGGGACCGGGUCAGACCCAACCCGUUUUGGUGGCCCAGCAUUAGGCCUAGCCCAGCGUGCUGUACUCCUCCCCGAAGAAGCAUGUUUCCUGAUGGUCUUUUUAGGCCUUGUAAUUCCCAGCCCAUUAGCAUCCCUUAUUCCUUCAUGUAUUUGGCAAGUCAAUCCUUCUUCAUAAUUAUUAGAAAUCGUUUCCUCUGAAUCAAUAUCCUUAUUUAUUUCAUAUGAUCCCUGGAAAUCUGUCUUGUCCAUUAAUGCCGCAUAAUUGCCGUUUCCGUCAAUCAAAUUUGAAUUUUUGUGAUUCCAUUCCUUCAAAUCAAGGCUUGAAAUUACCAUUCUAUCCUUAUCUUGUUCUUCGUUUCUAUGUUCUACCAUCAUCAGUACCGCCGCCUGAUCCCAAUCUACGACCCUCCGUUCAGCUCCAUGAUUCAAUAUGCAACCCGAACUUCGAUGCUGCGUCACUUCUAUAUUUAUCAUGUGCCUAUCUUCUGUCUCUUUCGAAAGCAUUCCUCGCGAUACACUUCUCCACCCACUUCUCUUACAAGAACGUCAAACUCGCUUGUCUCUAUUGUAACGUAAAUCCAUUCGUUAAUCAAAUCGAAAACACACGUAUCAAUUAGAACUUCACAAAUAUAUUUGUUCAUUAUACAUAUUAUUAGAAAUAAAUUAUGGCUUUUCAAUAUAUGGAUUACAAGUUUGUAGUGACAUAAAACAUGUGUUUCAAGAUUAGAAAUUCUUCUCAAAUAUACUCUUACAAAAUUUUAUAUCCCGAGAUUCUUAGUCUUAAAUUAAUUUCUAUAGAUUUUCUUCCAUAUUUUUACAUUAUUUUAUAAAUUCUGUAUUUUACAUUCAUAAAGUUUUAUCAUUCUUACAAGUUUAAUUUUAGUCAUUUUAUAUUUUAAGUUUAUUUUUAAUUCCUCUUAUUUACUCUUGCAAUAAGCUUUAUGUUCAAUUAAGUUUUAUUUGCAUUUCAGUAUUUAAUUUCACAAGUUGAUUUUAUUUUAAUUCCUUAGUUCAUCUUUAUAGAUUUCGUUUUCAGAAAUUAUACAUUAAACCAAUCCAGAUAAUUUCACAAUAAUUAAAUUCAGUUUGCUUUGAUUUGUGAAAAAUUUGGAAAACACUUAAUAAUUAAAUUUUAAAAUUUCAAUAUAAGAAUAAUAUCUUUCCAUAAACAAUUACAAAAAUAAACUAAAAUUCAUUGAAACAAAACGAUCACUUAUUUUUUUCUUCAAUUGCAUUUGAAAAAGUAUUGAUAGACAAUGAUAAUACUAAACAAUAUGAACAAUGGAUAUAUUAUAUGUUCAAUUUAAUAGGUAUGCAGAUGAUUAUGUUCAUUAUUUUUAAUUAGAUGAUUAUUUUUUUAUUCGAUUUACUCAUAUAUAAUCAACAAUGGCUGAAUGUUCAAUUUACUAGGUGUGCAGAUGAAAUGUUAAGGUUUAUGAGAUAAUUUGGAGAUGAAAUAUUUUUUUACUUUAUUGGGUCAAUUCUAGAGUCUAUUAUUCACAUUAUUUAUAAAAAUCAUUGUCUAUAUAGUAAAAUCCAUUACAUUGUUUUUCGAUAUUUCUUCUUUCUAAAAUUUUGUUUAUUGAGAAAAGGAAAGCACGGUAAGCACGUGCGACGGUGUAGUGGAACCGCGAUUGGGGGUGUUCGUUCGUUCGUUGGUCAGUGAUGCAAAGAAGGGAAAGGGUGCGUUUCGUUUCGUUUCGUUUUCAUCGCAACAAAACCUCUUUUCAUUUCUUUAUGUAGCUUAAAGAGCCUCGCUCGCUUCUUCAUCUUGUUUGGAGUACACUUCUCUUCUUCUCCGAUCAGGUAUUUUAAACGAUUCCUAUCAAAUGAAAUCUGAUCUUAUGAAACCUACUCUUUGUUUUGUUUUCCAGAAUUUUGUUCCGGGUUUGAUUGUUCAUCUCAAUUUCAGCUUCUUCUGCUGGCAUUCUCGUUAUCUCUGUGCUAUUAUGCUUGUUCCCUGCAGAAAGUUAGAGUUUCCAGUUAGAUUUGUGUGAAAGUAUUAAUUAAGUUGUUUCUUAGUGUGUUUUUCACAAAAGACUGGAUUUCUAUUUGUGGGGUUUUAUUUUUAAUAUUUUAAGUCGUGGAAUAACUAAGAAAACAGGGUUAAUGUAUUUGAUGGUAGGUUGGUGGAUUAACCACUGGAGAAGGGGAAAAAAGAUGGAGUGUAGGGUAUUAGUUACUUCUAUACCUCGUGAUGUUGUUGUUUGGUGAAUAUAUUCCUUCACAUAGUGAUAUAGCUUAUUAGCUUCUGAUUGUGAUCUUAGAUACCAAAGUACUCAUUCAUCUCUCCCCUGAAGUUUUCAUGCUUCUUUCCUUUUGUUUUUCUGGAAUCUUGUUGGAAUCUCCAGUGGAAAGCAUAGCCUUGCAGUAACUGCACGUCUUUGUUAGUUCCUUUUGAGUUUUGCUGCCUUAACAGUUGGUGUAGAAUUGCCACUGCAUAAUGUUAGUGGUCGGGUUUUUGGAGGGUAUCAUAAAACUUUGACACAUUUAUAGGGUUUAUUAUGUCGGAUGUUGGACUUUAAGUAUUUGGGUUGAGCUUGGUUAUGCCACUACUGUAAAUUGGUCCAGAUAAUAUCUUAAUUUGCACUUAGACUGUUUAAAAUGUUUUAGUGAUUUUGAGUUUAUCCUGGUAUGAUAGCAUUAGCUUUUUCUUGUAUGCUUCAGGAUAAAUGAGAUGGCCUCUUCGCAAAAUGUUGAAUUGGAGGCAGCUAAGUUUCUGCACAAACUCAUCCAAGAUUCUAAAGAUGAGCCAGCUAAGUUGGCUACUAAACUCUACGUGGUGUGUGUCAUUUUCUUAUAAACGGACUUUUUUAAUUAUUCCUCGUCACUCCUUAGUUCCUAGUAUGGGUUUAGUAUGCUUGUAACUAACUUGGUAUCUGUUUCAGAUACUACAACACAUGAAAUCAAGUGGGAAGGAGCAUUCAAUGCCAUAUCAAGUGAUAUCAAGGUAGAAUACCUGCAAUAUAUAGUGCUCAAAUAAAUGCAUACAUAGAUAUCCACAGUCAGUUAUUAAUCCCCUUUCUGCUUGAGGUUGAUUUUGACAAUCAUGAUGUUUUUGUGCCUUGUGGGAGUAAGAGUAAGAUGUGGUGUAAGAAUAUAAGGUUUCACAUGUACUCCUUCAUUUAUAAGAUAUUAACUAGCUCUAGCAUGCCUGAGAUGGUAAUAAAGUAAUGGGAAGAUCAUAUUUAUUAAAUUAUUUGUGGAAGUGGGUGGAACUCGGAAAGAUGAUAAGCAUUUGUUGCAUUUUGGUGCCACUUUCUGAGCAGCAUGGCGGGCCUGUUUAUGUCCUUUUAGUGAAUAGGUUUGAGUCAUAUACUCAUGCACGAUGCUGAAGUAGCUGAGGGUUUAACAACCCAAGUUUUUCUGCCUAACAACUUAAUUUGUUUAUGAUUUUAGUUCAUGACAGUGUUAUUGAUUCCGUAACAAGUGGUUAGAAGUGUGAUCCUUUCUGUUCUCACUCCUAUUAUGUUCAAUUUACAAGGGGAUUUUCAUGCUUUUUGUGCAAGGUUUAUAUAGGUGUUGGUUGCUGAUUUCUUAUUUCUUUUUGUGGAUUCCUUAUCUUCUUUUAUACUGUUAUCUUGCCUUGUCGUCUAAUAAAUUUUCGUCCAACUUAACUUGUCAUUGUAGGGCAAUGGAGACUGUCAUCAAUCAGCAUAAUCUUGAUAUUGAAGCAUUGAAGUCUUCACGUCCUCCUUCUGGUGCUGGCAGUUCUCAAAUAGGUAGUUUUUUUAUAUUUUCAUGUUGCAGGAAAAAAGUUCAUAAUAAUUUCCCUGUAGGUUUUGAUGUUAUCGAUUGUAACUUGUGCAGGAACUUCACAAGCAGUGGGUGUUGCUACGGAUUCAAGAGCAGCGUUGCCUGAAAAUGUGAUGCCCAAACUGGAUUCCUUCGCUUCUGGCCGGCCCCCAGUUUCCCCAAGUAGUGGAGCACCUGAUCACUAUCAAGGAUCUGCGGCUCAGAGGAGUGGUCAGUCUUUUGAUCAUGGAAGUCCGUGUAGUUUAGAUUCUAGGUCUGCUAACUCACAAUCACAUGAUAGACGAGAUACUACUAAUUUGGACAAACAGGUGAAUCAAAAGGAUGGUAAAAAAGCUACCUCAAAGAGAAAGAGGGGGGAUACAUUGUCACCUGCAGAACCACACGUUGACAUUCCUUCUCGUCUUGAUCAGCGAAAUACUGCUAAUACGAGGAAGGGUAAAAUGACCAAGGCUGAGUCAUCAGAUGGUCUUCCAGUUAGAAGUGGAGAGCUGACUAACUUUAACAGGGUUCCAAGUAGUAGUCAAAUGCAAAGGGCCAACCAAGAAGGCCCAACAAAGAUUGGCAAUCCAGUGCCAUGUGCUCCGAAUUCUAAAUAUCCAGAAGAUACAGAGGUUUCCUCUGCUCAUAUUGCUUCUGGUAAACUUCAAGGUGGUUCUCGUUAUGUAUACAUGAUUUAAGUUGUUUGACUCAAAAUGAAUAUGUAAGCUUUUGAAACAUCUCAGAUUCCCUUGUUUUCUUUGUCUUGUUCCUGAUGAUGUGAUGGACAAAAAUUCCAACUUAUCUGUUAAUGCUCCCCUUCCCAGGUUCAAGUAAUGGAUUUGUCAAUUGUGCUAGGAUCAUUGUGUAUAUAGAUGAACCUCUGUUCUUGGGUUUGAGAUCUGCACAGAGUUUGAAUUAUUUAUGCAUAAAAUAGCAGUGUCAACUACAGAAGUUAGUGGAAAACAAUGAAGAUUAACGAGUUUAUGCAUAAAUAUAAACUAUGGGAAUCCAAGAAUUUAAUAGAAUACAGUUUUUCUUAUUAUUUUUUAUUUUAUUUUAUUUCACUUCUGUGAUGAUGACAGUAGAGCCUUCUAUGUUUCUCGGAUACACUUUUCCUUUUCUUUUUUUAAGUUCUUGGAGUGCCAAAUUACUGGUGGAAAAUGAAUUAGGAAAAUAUCUGUUUUUACUUGUAUGGUAUAAUAAUUACAUGAUCAAUUUUUCUAAAUUUCAGGUGCUCAUCCUAUGGUUCAUGGAGGGAUGGGGGUUGCCACUAGUGCAUACGCAAUGACUGAAUCAGUUCUCUCAAGUUCAAUGCGGCAUGGUGGGAUGCUUGGGCAUGAUAGUGGAAGUUCUACUACUUCUGCUGAUGAACAUAAAAUAGGCCAGGUAUUUGUCGUAUAUAAUGCUGGAGCUCAGGAUUUCUUACUUAUAUGAUGGGGAAGUAUGUCCUACUUAGCUCACUUGCAUGGAAUAUCUCCCUUUUUGCUCCAUUUUUUCUGAUCAAUACAUGUGUAAUGCCUGUUCAACCCCAUCUAUCACGCCAGAUUUUUGGAAUUGAUGUUUCAACUAGGAAUCUCUAUUAUUACUGUUUAUUUACUGGACAUGGUGCCUUUUUGUCGUUUUGAAACUUAGAGGUGGAAAAAUAAAAUAAUAAAUAAAGAAGAUAGUGGCUUUAAUAAUUGCAAUAGAGAUGAACAAUUAAAUGUGUCCUUAGUUUCACGUUAUUGCCUGACAUUAAUUUUUUUUUCUUCAUAAUGACUUGAAGCUUUUCUCUUUCCAUUUUAUUUUUAUUUUUACUCGUUGCUAUAACUUCUAUAAUCAUCUAAAAGGUUUUUUUAUUUUUUAUUUUUUAUUUUUAUAUAUAUAUAUAUGGUGUAUAUGAGUCAAGUUGAUUGCUUUACCAGAUAAUUUUAUUGACAGACUGACAGGCAUAGUAGUAACUCAGAAAUGACUAUGCUUAGACAAGGAGUUCCUCCCAGGAAUAUGGCAAGAUCCACAGUCAGUGAAUCAUCUGGUGUGCCUUUCAAAGAACAACAGUUGAAACAGCUCCGAGCUCAGUGCCUUGUUUUUCUAGCAUUUAGGUAAAAACGUAACUUUGCUACCACUGUUUAAAUAUGAAAAGAUCGAACUAAGUUUUAUUAUGUUUCAUAUAUUGUUUUGAAUGUGUAGAAAUGGUUUAGCACCAAAGCAACUACAUCUUGAAAUUGCUCUUGGAACCGCAUUUUCUAGAGAAGGUGACUGGUAUUUAUUUAAUUGUUAAGUAAUAAUUUAUUUUCGUCGCCUAACUGGUAGCUGAUGGGAAGAUAUAUGAUGGAAAUACAGGAAAGGAUCAUACUGACCACAAAGGAAAGUCACAAUCUUCUGUUGAAUUGGGUACCUCAUCAGGGGUCAUGAUGCCUUUUGGAGGUCUGAACAAUAUGAGACAACCUGAUAAUAACUCUUCAGGGUCCCCUUCUGCUGGAAAAUCUCUGGAAGCUACGUCAUUCUCCAAGGGAACUGAGAGUGCAAUAAUGACUGGGGACAAAGGUAUUCUUUCUGAAGAAAGGAAACAUCUCCUAGCUGUCAAAAAAGUAGAGCUUGAAAAGCAAAUUCAAGAAAGAGCUGGUGCACAAGCUUCGUCAGCUACUUCUUUUCAGCAGCAAGAUUCCUCCAGUACAAAGGGUGAUGUUGACAGUGGUAAUCUUCAGGUUGGACUGUCCAACCGACCUUCCUCUGUCAUUGGGCUGAAUAAGCAGAUGAAUCCUGAGAUAAAUGGCUUUACCGGAUUCGCUAGUUCUGAUGAGGCUUCAGAAGGACCCUCGCAAGUCUCUUCUCUUCAGCAUGAGUUGCCAAUAGAAAGAAGAGACAAUGUUGUUAAUCAGUUUCAAAAUAGUGGUGGUUCUCGAAACCAUCAUUCUCUAAACCACUUGACGUAUGCUUUGAAAGAGCACUGGAAACCUGUUCCAGGGACUGGCAUUGAUCCCCAGGGAGCAAGCUUGAUGAAGGAUGCAGAUUUAUUAGCGAAAAAUGUUUCUUUUUCAGGUAAGACCCUUACUUUUAAAACCUUGGAAUUGAAAUCAGUUUCUUUGAUGAACAUCCUAUUGAUUUCUGAAUUAUUCCUGUGCCAAUAAUUUACACCUUUCUGACAUCAAGUGAAAUUAAUUGCAGAUGGGUUCAAAACAGUUCCUGUUAAUGAUGCCUCAAGACAUGAUGCCACUUUUCCUACGGACAUAGAAGGGAAUGGGAGGUUACCUCCUCCAAAAUAUACAAUGUCAGGAAGAUGGAUUAUGGAUCAGCAGAAAAAGAGGCUUCUAGUUCAGCAAAACUGGGUACAAAAACAGCAAAAAACAAAGCAAAUAAUGACCACCUGUUUCCUCAAGCUAAAGGUUUGUUUUUAACUGGCUUCCUACUAAUUUAGUGUUGAACAUGCUAUUCUUGUGCAUAUGAUCUGUUUCAUUUGUGCACCCUACAAAAUCAGCAAUCAAUUUGUUCGAAAUUAAUAUUGCAUAGAUCUUAUAGCCUGCGGUACAUUAACUGUAAUGCAGGAAAAUGUGAGCUCAUCCGAGGAUAUAUCUGCUAAAACAAAAAGCGUCAUAGAGUUGAAGAAACUUCAAUUAUUAGACCUCCAACGCCGUCUCCGCAGGUACUUGGUGUUCUUAAAUCUUAAAUUGAGUGUUUAAGUUAUCUUUGAUGAUUGAUCAUUGUGACGAUAUCCUUUUAUCUUUUGUUUGCAGUGAUUUUUUGAAUGAUUUCUUCAAACCAAUUACAACUGAGAUGGAACAGUUGAAAUCGGUUAAGAAACUUUUAUUUGGUGAAGAAAUAUAGCUAUAUAGCUUUUUCUUUUCUAAAAUUUUUAUUUUAUUUUUUAUGUUGACUAUAGAAAUAUUACUUUUUAUAUCGUCUCUUAUCUCAAUACUUGUUUUAUUAAUUUAGGGAAAAGCUUGAUGAUGUGUUCAAAAUCAAGAGGGAACGGUGGAAGGGUGUCAAUAGAUAUGUGAAAGAGUACCAUAAAAGAAAAGAGCGCAUUCAUCGUGAAAAGAUUGAUAGGAUCCAGCGGGAGAAGAUUAAUUUGUUGAAAAUAAACGAUGUGGAAGGUUAUCUUCGGAUGGUUCAGGUAGGUUGCUGUACUUAGUAUAUGUUAAUGGUUUCUAGACUUGCAUUGAAGUGCCAAUGCUCAAUAGCUUUUCUCAAUCAUCAACCUCAAUUAUCAACCUCAAUUAUUUCAUUAGGAUGCAAAAUCUGAUCGUGUGAAGCAACUUCUUAAAGAGACUGAGAAGUAUCUCCAAAAGCUUGGUUCCAAGCUACAAGAAGCAAAGACUGCAGCAGGUCGCUUUGAACAUGAUAUUGAUGAGGCACGAUGUGGCAGUUUUCUUGAUAAGAGUGAAUCUACUCUUGAAAAUGAGGAUGAAGGUGAUCAGGCCAAGGCAAGUUUCCUUUCCGAAAUUGCACAUCUCUUUUUUUAUGUUUGGCUAUUAAUAAUUAUAUUGCUUAUUUCUUCCAAAAUUCUGUUCUACAGCAUUAUCUGGAAAGCAAUGAGAAAUAUUAUAUGAUGGCACACAGGUAUAACUUUUGUACUUGCGUUUUCUUAUCAGGUUUAAUAGUUGAGUUUUGGUUUAUUUAUAUUCCCUUACAAAAAUUUAAAACGGAUCUCUUCCUCAAUGGCUUUGUAUUUUCUGUGUUCAAUAAUUUGUAUUCUUUUUUGGAUUUUCUACUCUGUUGAGUAAUUCUUUUGCUCCAUUCUAAGAAAUUUUCUUGCUGCAGUGUAAAGGAGAGCAUUGCAGAGCAGCCAUCUUGUUUGAAGGGCGGAAAAUUGAGGGAGUAUGUUACAUUUACAUUUGGUUUAAUUGGUUUAUAUUUGAAUUUUGUGAGAAUCAAAGCAUGAUUGUUCCAUGCUCAGUAGUUUUUCUUUCAGGGAGAUUUUCUUUGGUUCUUUUGCAUGUUAUUUUUUCCUUCAAGGUUGUGUUUUGAUAGGGGUAAAAGUGAAGGGGUAAAAUUUCAUGGAUGAUCUUGAUAUGUAACAUUGCCCAUGGAGUUCAUCCAUGAAAAGUUUACCCUAGGUAUACCCCUAAGUAAAUUCACCGAAAAUUUUGUUAACUAUGUUGUUUUAGCAAGGCAUUUGGCUUUACAUUUAUUUGUUUUUCAAUUUUCGUCAUUAGGUAUCAAAUGAAUGGCCUGAGGUGGCUUGUUUCCUUAUAUAACAACCACUUGAAUGGAAUCCUUGCAGAUGAAAUGGGACUGGGUAAAACUGUUCAGGUAAUAAUUUAUUUUCUUCUAUUUUUAAAGUUUUUGUUGUGUUAAGGAGUCAUUUGGCACAUCACAUAUUUAUGAGAAUAAGAAAGCUUUUGUAUGAUCUAUGAUCUUAAUGCUCGUUUUUCUGUGGUGUUUUUUUUUUGUUACAAGGUUAUUUCUCUAAUUUGCUACCUGAUGGAAAGUAAAAAUGAUAGGGGGCCAUUUCUUGUGGUUGUGCCCUCUUCAGUUCUACCUGGUUGGGAUUCAGAAAUCAACUUUUGGGCUCCUGAUGUACAUAAAAUUGUCUAUGCUGGACCACCUGAGGAGCGACGUCGGUUAUUUAAGUAAUGGGGCUUUCAAAAAUUGAUAUGCAACUCAAUCUGUUUUGAUACAUUGCCUUGUAUGAUUCUUAUCACUUGUUAUGUGAUUUAGGGACAGGAUUGUUCACCAGAAAUUCAAUGUCCUCCUGACAACAUAUGAAUAUCUAAUGAACAAGCAUGACAGACCAAAGCUUAGCAAAAUACACUGGCAUUAUAUAAUAAUUGAUGAGGGCCACCGCAUAAAAAAUGCUUCUUGCAAGUUGAAUGCUGACUUAAAACACUAUCAGAGCUCUCAUAGAUUGUUGUUAACUGGAACUCCAUUGCAGGUUCACUACUAUUUUAACUGCUAUUGCAGCUUACUUUUUAUUUUGCCUAUAUAUAUAUAUAUAUAUAUAUAUUUGAUUUAAAAAUGGUUUUAAAACAUAUAGUUGAUACUAUUAUUUAGUGCUGGUUUAUUUAUAUUUUCUGCAGAACAAUCUUGAGGAACUAUGGGCGCUACUUAACUUCUUGUUACCUAACAUAUUUAAUUCAUCUGAGGAUUUUUCCCAGUGGUUUAAUAAGCCAUUUGAGAGUGCUGGAGAUAACUCACCAGAUGAAGUAAGCUAUGGAUAAUGUUUUGAUCUAUUGAUAUUUGAAGUCUUCAUGGUUAACUGUCAACCUCAUUAUUCUGUUUGUCUGAUUUCAAACUUAUAACAAGGCCUUACUAUCCGAGGAGGAGAACCUCUUGAUCAUCAAUCGUCUGCACCAAGUUCUGAGACCAUUCGUACUUCGGAGGCUUAAACACAAGGUUCCUUAAUAAGUCCAACUGCCUAAGAUUACUAUGCUACUGCUCCUAAGUUUUGUUUUUCUGCAUACUAAUAUACUAUGAUCUUGUCUUAUUGUUUUAAAAAAAAAAAAAAAGAAAAGGAAUGAUAAUUUUUAUGUGGCUUCUUAUUUUUGUUAUGGUUCAUAUAUUCAUUAAUUCAUUCUUGUUGCUUCUAUGAAAUAAAAUUAUGAAGAUUUACGUAUUCAUCUUUUGGCUACUUAUAUAUUCACCUUUCUUUACUAGUUUCUGGUGGAUGUCUAGUUGUCAUUAUAUAUUUUCCUUCAUGAGAAUCCAAAAUGUUAGAAUUUGAGAGCACCAUAGCUUUCACUGGUUGAGGACAUAUGCAGGGCAUAAGAAUUAUAUUUUUCUCUUACAUUGUGACCUAGGCACCAAGAUGAAACCAAGUUCCUAAAAGUUGUUCUAGUGUUUUAUAACUGUACGAUAUGAUAUUGUAUAGAAUCAGUUUAGGAUUUCAGUAUUGUUAACUCUGAGAAUUGAGAUUUUUUUUGCGGCAUUGCCUUGUUCAAUGAAAUCUUGUCUCUUAAAGUAUGCUAGCUUUUGCAGUCAUUGCAAUCAAGUUGUAAUUGUGUGCAUUUUGAAUUUACUGUAGGUUGAAAAUGAACUUCCCGAAAAGAUUGAAAGACUUGUAAGAUGUGAGGCUUCUGCUUAUCAAAAACUUUUGAUGAAGAGAGUGGAAGAAAAUCUUGGCUCUAUUGGCACAACAAAGGUUUUAUUUUCUUGUACUUUCUGUUCCUUCCUCUCUUUGUCUGUGUGGGUGUGCGUGUUUAAAUGAAAUUUCCUUGGGUGAUCUAAUUGGAGCACUCAAUUAUUAGGCACGGUCGGUGCACAACUCUGUCAUGGAGCUUCGUAAUAUCUGCAAUCAUCCAUAUCUCAGCCAGCUUCAUGCAGAGGAGGUAUAAUCUUAAUUGUUGCCUUAUUGUGUUGCUUUUCAGAGAGGAGUUUAUGUCUUUUGAAUUAUGAUUUCAACCACAAUUUGCUUAGAUUUUAUGAGCUAAAGAAAAUACAAACAUUACACUUACAUUUUCCCUGUGAGAUAUGAAGAUUCGGAGUACAUUGUGUUCCACUUCCACCAAUCACCUAUCUUCGAUAUCAUUUUCUGAACAAUUUUAUGGCUAAACCUGACAACAAAGAAAGCAGGAUCACAAACUUUAAAAAAAAAAGAAAAAGAAAAUAAAAACAUUUCUGUCAGCAAGAUUUGUCUAUAUUCUAUAAUUUCUGACUCUUGAUGAUGCAGCCAGAAAUGUAAGUAAUAAAACACUGUCGGUAGGCUAUAGCCUAUUCUUUUAAAUAGUCUCAUUUAUUUAUUUAUUUUUAAUUGCAUAUGUUUACUUCUCUUUAUACUACAAUUCGACUUUGCUUUUUUUAGGUGGAUAACUUUAUACCUAGGCAUUAUCUGCCCCCAAUUAUUAGACUUUGUGGGAAGCUUGAGAUGUUGGACCGUAUUUUACCUAAAUUGAAGGCAGCAGAUCAUCGGGUAUGGUAUCCUCUAUAACUGUUUCUGAACCACUGUAUUUUAACUCCCUUCAGUUGCACUAUUGUUGUAAGUGGCCAUGUGUUUGGAGAAUGAUGCUUGGUUAAAGUGCCAAACUUCCCUUCCGUUGUUAUUUUUCUGAAAUUUUAAUUUUGCUUUUUUAUUUUUUUGAUAUUCUGCUUGGAUGCUUUUUGGGAUGUUAGCUCUUUGGAUACUGAAUUUGACGUUUCCUUAUUAGUUUCUCUCGAGCAUUGGAACCGAAGUAUUUUUUAUUUAUCUAGUAUUUUGUAUUAGUACAUUGUUUUUAAAAGAAAAAUUUAACUCUAAAUAUUUGGUGUCAAAUAAUGCUGUUACAGGUUCUUUUCUUCUCAACAAUGACUAGGCUUCUUGAUGUUAUGGAGGAAUACUUAACUCUUAAACAGCAUCGGUACCUUCGGCUGGAUGGGCAUACCUCGGGAGGUGAUCGUGGGGCCCUAAUAGACCUGUUUAACCAACCUGGUUCUCCAUAUUUUAUAUUUUUGCUGAGGUAAUUCCAAUAUUUACUUGAGCACUGUGUCUGAAUGCGAAAGAGUUUGAUGAUUGGAUUGGAGGUGAGAAAGGGAAACUUAUUUUUGUUUUAUUCCAAAGGAUAUUUCCACUUAUUCCUUUCUUGCGUAUCUUUUUACCCUAAUUUGGCAAAUAAGGAUACUCUGUUUAAUGGUAAGAAAUUGUUAGGCCAUUGUAUUCACGUUUUUUACCCUAAUUUAGCAAAUGAGGAUUGGCAGUUAAUGAGAUUUCUUUCAUGAUUUCAAGAUAUAACCAUUAGGUCGUAACAAAUUAGGUUCUAUUUUCUUUUCAGAAUGAGAUUUAUCAUUUUAUAUUACCUUCAAAUUUGCUGAUUUUUAUCCGUUGGUAUGUAGCAUUCGUGCUGGUGGCGUUGGAGUGAAUCUUCAAGCUGCUGACACAGUGAUUAUAUUUGACACUGACUGGAAUCCACAGGCAAUUAUAUUUCCUAUAUGAGUUUCUUUGUAAAGUUGUUUGCUUUUUGUUGCUGAUUAUUUAUGAUUGUUUUGGUUGUGGUAUAUGUUCAGGUUGACCUGCAAGCACAAGCAAGGGCUCAUAGAAUUGGUCAGAAGAAGGAUGUUUUAGUACUUCGAUUUGAAACAGUUAGUACUUUUUAUCUCUUUUACUGAUGGGUGGAUAAAAUUGUAUAUAUUUGAUUUUGAGAAACUCUAAUAUCAAACAUGAUGAGGAGAUUGAAAAUAUUUGAUUCGUUUAAAGCUUUUUCUCUUGGAUGGAGGAUAUUCUUCUCGUCCCGUUUAUUUGUAUCAUCCUCCCCUUCUCAAUAAUACUCUUUUUUGGUUUAUUCCAAAAAAAGUAGAUUUGAUUUGAAUUGCAAUAUUUUUUCCUGAUUCACAAUAAUAUUUGCUCCUUGCUGUUAUUAAUAGGAUCUUAUACUUUUGUGGUUAUGAUUUUCUUUUUCGGGGUGGAUAGGUGGGUAGUUGUUUAUCUUGCGAGUUAGCAUUAACUAUACUUUUUGUAUGUCUACCACCACCAAUAUUUUAAAUAAUAUCUAGAGUCGUAACUCUUGGUUAUAAUUCCAUUUAAAACCGAUUUUGUUGUCUGUUUCUUUUGGAGUUUAUUCUAUUUUGUUUUGAAAAAGAAGAAAUUUAUAACAUAAGCAAGGGAAAGAUGCAGACAAGACUGCUGGAUAAGAAGAUGGAGUUUAGUCUUUAACCUGACAAUUAUGGGUAUCUGGAUUUUUAGUGAGAUUUAUGACUGGGAAGUAAGCAUACCUGCUGUACAAGGCUAACCUUGGAUCACUGGAAUCUUUAUCUGCAUAUUGUUUGCUGCAUCUUGAUACCAUAAAAUCCGAGAUACACUUCUCAUCUUAAGCAUUGUUUGGAUGAACUUAUCAUUUAAUUGUCUCUGAUGCUAAUAAGGCCACGUUUGUGCCAAUGUGGAAACUAUACUUUAAAUAUUGUGCCAAAUUGUCAUGUUUACCAAAGUAUCUAAUUCCGCAUUUGGUGUAAAAAGGUUCAAACUGUUGAAGAACAAGUCAGAGCUUCUGCUGAGCACAAACUGGGAGUUGCUAAUCAGAGCAUUACUGCUGGGUUUUUUGACAAUAAUACAAGGUUUGACCUCAUACAUUUGAUCUUUAGUUCAUCACAGAAUUUGAAUCAGCUCUGAAGUUUUAUUUUGCCUAUGUAUUACAGUGCUGAGGACCGAAGAGAAUACUUGGAAUCCCUCCUGCGUGAGUCUAAGAAAGAGGAAGCGGCACCUGUAUUGGAUGAUGAUGCUUUAAAUGAUCUCUUAGCACGCAGGUACUUGAUUUCUUGAAAAUUACACCAUUUUCUGUCUCUGAAUGAUAUUUCUUGAUUCAUCGGAUAAUAAAUUGGGUUUAGGAUUUGCUCUUUCUAGGUUGUACUAUAACUUGGUUUGCUUAUUGGGAAUGAUUAGAAAUCUUGGCAAUGUGUUUGCAAUCAUGUCAAUGACCAACCCCUAAAAUCCUAUUCUUAUCCAACAGAACUUUUUGAACUGCUAAUAAGUUAUGCUCCCUGAUUUAUGCUUGUCAUUCCAUCAUUCUACUCUUUCCUUUGUUUGCUGAUUUAAAUGUAUUGUCUAAAUGCAAAGAUUGCACUAUGCUAUCUUAGGAUCUUUUAGCUUAACCCAAGAAGUGUUCUUUUAUGAUUGCAUUUGAAGCCCAGUUAUAUGCUUUGCUCAUUUAUGUUAGCAGUUUAGCAACAUAAUAGCUUUAUUGUUUAGUUACUCAAUACUUGAUCUAUUCUCUUCUUUGUUCCUCCUCUUGUGCACACUAUGUCAAAAGGCGGAACGAAGAGGAAAGAAAUUUGAGGGGUUUACUUAUCAAUUUAUUUUAAAAUUCUUGUUGGCAGUGAAGCAGAAAUAGAUGUGUUUGAGGCUGUUGACCAAAAAAGGCGCGAAGAUGAGAUGGUACGCGAUUGUCUAUUUUUUGAGAUCUUCAUUUGAAUAAUUAUGCUUUUACUUUUUGUGACAGAAUCUUGAUUUCCAUGGGGGUUAAAAAAAUCAUUGCAGGCUACAUGGAAGAAGUUGGUAUCUGGGCCAGCAACUGAUGGUUCUGAGCCUAUUCCUACCCUUCCUUCACGUCUAGUUACAGAUGAAGACUUGAAACAAUUCUAUGAAGCGAUGAAGAUAUCCGAUGUGUCCAAGGAUGAAGUAGCAUCUAACGGAAUCAAGAGGAAGAGUGGAACUCCUGGGAGCCUUGAUACUCAACAUUACGGAAGGGGAAAACGUGCAAGAGAGGUUUCUCUAUAUAUUCAAUUAGUCAAUUUAAUUUUUCUGGGUCAUAAAUGUGCUGUGUGUUCCCCUUUUGCUCUUAACCUUUUAUUGCAUAAACAUGACCUACAUCGCUAUAACCCCAUGCAUAUCCCCUUUGGGGAUUCUAGUUGAAACAUGAUGUAGAAAACUUCAUUCCCUGGUCACCUGUAGGAAUAUGUUUUAAAAGCACCUAAAAAACAGAAGGAAAAUGAAGUUGAAGAUGUAGGUUUAUAUCCUGGUGUUGUGUGGUAUCCUAGUAUUGAAUAUCAGCUACCACAUUCUAACUUCUUAUUGCCUUUUCCAUAUGCCUUUCAUAGGUGCGUUCCUAUGAAGAACAAUGGACAGAGGAGGAGUUUGAUAAGAUGUGUAAAGCUGAAUCUCCUGGAUCACCGAAAGUAAUGGAAGAAGUGAUAGAGUCAAAUUGCAAAACAAAUGCUUCUAGCUUUGCUGCAACUGCUUCUGUCACGGAGACUGCAGUGGUGCCUCCGGUGGCCCCUGUAACAUCAUCUCUUGGGAGUUUGCCUGUGCAUAAAGUCAAAGAUAUAACACCACCUGCUAAACGUGGACGUGGCAGGCCAAGAAGAAUAACCUCAGAUAAGUUGCCUGUAACUGCAGUCCCUCUGGCUACUUCUGUAACUGUUGAAGUGGACAUGCAGGUAAAGGAAGGGACUUUGCUUGGUCAAGUAGUAUCGUCAACUCCCGAAUCUAUUUCUCAUUCUUCUGAAGUUAUUGGUGUGAGUGGACCUGCACAGCAGUCUGCUACUGGUGUUUCUCCUAAUCUGACAACUCCACCCAACUCUCAAGCAGAGGGUACUACUGUUUCUGUGCCAAUACAAACAAGAGGACAAGGCCGGAAAUCUCAAGGUGGAGGGGAGGCAACUAGACGUAGAGGGAAGAAGCAGGUUCUAGUGUUGUCUCCUGUACCUGGGGUUUCUAUUGGUCCUGAUUUAAAGAUGAAUGAGCAGUUGGAACACAAACCCCUGAAUCCAUCUGCUGGUGAAGCUAUCUCCCAAGGUGACACUGUUUCCUCCAGUGCUACAGUACAACAUUCAAGUACAGAACCGGGUUCUGUGACUUUAAGCAGUGGAGGUGAUAAUAAAUCUGGUGUUGGGAUUGCUCUGAGUUCUCAGCAGCCCCUUCCUUUGUCCUCUGUUACUCCUGUGCCUCAAACUGUUCCUACUUAUCCUUCUGUACCUAUACAAAAUGAUGGGCAACAUCAGAAGCCUCAAAAUGGAUCAGGAGCUCCCCGACGCAGGGGAAAGAAAAAAGCAAUGGUAUUGCCUAUUCCAGAUGUUUCAGGUAGUCAGAAUUUGCACCUUACUUCCAAUUUACAAAGCUCAUCAGGCAAUAUAUUACAUGAUAAAGCCACGGAGUUGAAAAGCUUGCAAGAUAGCCUUGUUCAGGAAUCACAGAGUGUUGUCCAAGAUCAUGCAUCACAUAGUAUUGGUGAUAAGGAUUUAAAAUCAACUGAAGUAUCUGGUGAUAUAGCCAAUAAGGCAUUGGUUGAAUCAACAACUGAAGAUAAUACCAAAAGAUCUCCUGGUGAGUAUAUUUUGAAUGUCAACAUUUUAAUGUUUACAUUUUAACGUUCAUACAGAAAAAGGCUUAGGAUGUGAUCUAAAGAAUUUAUACUUUUGCAGGGUUGGAAAUAGAGAAGGUUCAGAAUUCUGAUAUGCAUGGUUCUGCUUCCAUCCAUUUAUCCAAUACCCUUGUUCUGGAGAAUUCAAGGAACAAAAGUUUCUGUGGCUCAACCUUGCCUGUUACAGAGGUUACAAGGGACCAACAAUUGGAGGCGAAAACUCAUCACUGUGAUGAAGCUUCAAAACCUGAUACUUUUCCAGUCCAUUCUACAAAAGAAACAAAAGGAAGUUCUAACAAGGCUGUAGAACCUAUGGCUGCACAAGCAGUUCCCAAUGCAUCAGACAAUGCUUAUCCUUCCAUAUCAGGCUCUGAAUCCAUUCAGCCAUGCCCACCUGAAUCCAUGCCAGUUAAAAGGCAAGGCCGUAAAACUCAAAAUAGAGUGGAGCCACCCCGGCGUAGGGGGAGAAAAUCAUCUUCGGCAGCUCCUGUUGUUUCUGAUUCCCUUGCUAACCAGGAUCCUAAUUUAAAUAAUGAUUUUCAGAAGUCAUCAGUAGAAUCAUCCGUGGGUAAAGUCGCUACAGAUGUCGCUCAAGCUCAAGCAUUUCAGAUCCUUUUGCCCAGUGGAGGCGCUGCUCAUGAUUUAAACACAAAAGAGGGAGCUGCCAUUUCUUCUCUAAACAAGCAGCAAAAAGUUGCACCAGGAAGGGUUGAUAGUGCACCAGUAUCCUCAGAUAAGAUUACUGCUUUUGGCCGAAUGCAAAAUGUCAAUGAUGUGGCUAGGGUUAUGAAAGAAGUUUUCUCUGGAACCUGCUUGCCAAAGCCUAAAGCAGCAGAUUCUGCUGCCGGCGAACUCUCAAAAACUAAUACUACAAUUGAUUCCAUGAAUACCCAGUUGAAUGCUGAUAAAGCAGGUUAUGAUAUAACAAAUGCGGAAGCAGCAUGUCUAACUCCAGGCAUUGCUGUGAACAUACAAGAAAAACAAUCAGAGGGGGAAUUCAAUAAUCAGAAAUUGGAGGACAAAGCAAGUUCAGAUAUACCAAAUACUGGAGUAGUGGAUGUCUCCAAUAACAUGUGUUUGCAGGAUAAAGCAGGUAAGGAGCUUGACAAGCAAUCUGAAGUAUCUGACAUGCAGAUUCUUGAGAGCAAAGAAAAUUCCGAUAUGCCAACUACUGGAGCAGUGAACAGAAAUGAAAGACAAUUAGAGGAAACAUCCACUACUCUGUAUCUUGAAGGUAAAGCAGCGUCAGACAAGCCAACUACAGGAGUAGUGGAUGCCUUCAAUUUUCAGUGUUCAGAGAAUAAAACUGAUUCUGAUAUGUCUGCUACUGAAGCAGAAUUUUUAAUUUCAGACCUUCCAGUGAAUACGCAUGAAAAGCAAUCUGUGGAAGCAUUGAAUAUUCGGAAUCUGGAGGAUAAAGCAAGUUUGGAUAUACUAACUACUGAAGCAGCCUGCCCAGACUUGGACCAUGCGGUUAACAAAUAUGACAAGGAAGUAAUGGAGGCACCGAAUAUUCAGAUUUUGGAGGAUAAAGUGAAUUCCGAUAUGCCAACUGCUGGAGUAGUGGUUACAUCGAAUGACCAGUUUUUGGAGGAUAAAGCUGGAAUGGAUGAACCUACUUCUGGAGCAGCUUGUCUAACUUCAGAUCUUUCAAUUAAUCAGUGUGAACAAUUGGAGGAAGCUUCCAGCAUUCAGAAGCCGGAUGUUGAAUCAAGUUCAGAUGUGCCAGCUACUGGGGGAGUGAGUGCCUCCAAUAUCCAAUGUUCAGAGGAUAAAGCAUAUUCUGAGAUAUCAGCUGGUGAAGAUGGAUGUACGACUGUGGACCUUGCAGUGAGCGGGAAAGAAAAACAAUCAGAGGAGGAAUCCAAUAUUCAGAAUCUGGGGAAUAAAAUAAGUUCGGAUAUGCCAACCACUGGAGCAUUGUGCUUGACUCCAAUCAUUCCUACAGAUGGGAAUGUGCAGCUGUCUGGGCCUCCAUCUGAUCAAGAAAUAACUGCUUUGAAUGAGCCCCUACCUAGUGCUAUGGAGGUUGACACCCCCAUUUGUGAUGAUAUCAAAGAAAAGCAAGACCAUAUUCAACAUUGUACUAAAACUUAUUCUAAUCAGAGUGAAGUGGAGGCUCUUGAUGCAACUCCACUUAGUUCUGCAGUAAGGACUGAGUGUCUGUCUGAAUCAUGUACAAAGUCUUCACCUCUUGCUUCUUCUGGUGAAAAUAUGUCUGAUCAACCACAAGUGAUCCCAUCCUGCCCUCUGACUCCCACCGUUUCUAAGGAAUUGGUAAAUUCUCCUAUUUCUGAAUCUUGUGAAAUCAAUUACAGAAAUGAAGUCAAUUGUUCAAUGCAAGAUUCUGAUUUGCUGGAGCGAGAGUCUCAGAUGACAGUUGGAAAUAAUUCUCAAAAUGCAUUAGAACUUGUUAUAGAACAAAAUGCUUUAUCACCUUUGGAAACGGAGGCCCCCAAUGUUGCAUUAAGUGGGAAGUAUUCAGAUGCUUUAAAACAUGCUGAGUUGCAUGAGAAUCCAUUAGUUAAGAGCUGUUCACAAUCCCUCUCUGAGGGGGAAAUGAACAUGGGGGAUUCCAUAUGUGAACAACCUGUCUCUGCUGUUGAUAAAUCUUCUAAUAUUGACCCAGUUCCCGAGGAAAAUGUGAUAUCCCCAGCAGCUAUUGGCGAUACCAAUGUUGAUUCUUCUGAGGUUUGCCCAAUGGACAUUGUCACAUCUGUGAGUAACCAAGUUACAAUUGUGCAGGACAAUGAGGUUGUGGCAAAGAGUUCUCCACAGAAUGUAGAUACGUUCUCAGCAGAUGAGGUGGAAAAAAUCAUAGAUCAAUCUCCUGAUGAACCUGUUGAUAGGUCAGUCUUACAACAAACAUCAGGGUCAAAAGCUGUGGCCAAUUCUUCAGUGGAUGCUUCUCAGUCUGUCCUUGUGGAAGAGAGAACCAUAUCUGAAACUGCAAUUUUACCCUCGUCCUCUUUUAGCAUAGAGGAUAACAAGGUGUCAUCCAAAACCUGUGCAAUUAGUAACUCUGAAACUCUGGAAGAGGCAAUGGAGGAGGGUGCGACUGACCGCUCUGAAUUCCUGCCCCCAGAGAAAGGUGCAGAGGAGAGCUGUAGGAAUGCCACUGAGGUAAGCCUUGUUGCUCCUACUAGCAAAUCUAAUAGAUACAUUAUACCUUGAAAUUCAACAAAAAAAAAUUUCUGCAGGUUCCCUCUACAGUUCCAGUGCUGCUUCAGGAAUCGAUUGAUUCUGAAGGUGACCACCGUGAUCAAGGCAAGUCACAGGUUGAUUCCUCCUCUACACAACAUCCAAAUCUUGUGUUGGUCUUACAUGUCAGUAGUUUUGUGUUAGUUUUAAGGUAAUUGCAUGACAACAUUCUGUGUGUACCAGGUUGGUGGGAUACCUGAAAAUCAGGAAACUGGAAUGCUUGCUGCUCCUAAAACAUCUGAGGGGGGGAAUGAGGUUGAGACCUUUUCUGAUAAAGGUCCACUAGGAUCAUCUGAUGCAUUGGAUGAAUCAAAAGGAUUAGCUGAUAUGGAGAAUCAGACAGAAGCCAUUCAGAACCAUGCUGCUGAAAUUGAUGUCCCAUGCACAUCUGCAUCAGGGGACAAGGCCGAGGGUGAACCUAAAGGAUUAGCUGAGAUGGAUGUCCCGUGUUUGUCUGCAUCAGGGGUUAAGGCCGAGGGUGAAUCUAAAGAAGUAGCUGAUAUGGAGAAUCGGGCGGAAGCCAUUCAAAACUGUGCUGCUGAGAUGGAUGUCCCAUGUACAUCUGCACCAGGGGACAAGGCCGAGGGUGAAUCUAAAGGAUUAGCUGAUAUGGAGAAUCUGGCAGAAGCCAUUCAAAAUUGUGCUGCUGAGAUGGAUGUCCCGUGUGUGUCUUCACCAGGGGACAAGGCCGAGGGUGAAUAUAAAGGAUUAGCUGAUAUGGAGAAUGAGGUAGAAACCAUUGAGAGCUGUGCUGCUGAGAUGGAAGUGUCAUGUUCCUCUGCAUCAGGGGACAAGGCAGAGGGUGAGAAUGCUUUAGUUGGCACCAAGGAAAAAAUUCUGGUGUCAGAAGACACUGAAGCUUUUGCAGUUGAUGAAACAGAUGUUUCUAAUGGCAGUCCAGCUGUGCCCGAAACAGCAUCAGCCAAUGGGGCUCCACUUCCAUGUUCUUCGCUGAGAGUGGGUGAACCUUUGGUGGGGCAUGAUACUAAAGGAACUGAAACUGGUGUCGCCAACCAUGAUAAUCAAGCCAUACGGCAAAAUGCUCUGAAAGAUGCAGAAGAGUGCUCUUCUUCUGCAGCCGCUGACAUAAUUGAAAAGAGCUCACCUCAGAAGGAUGUCAUUGAAUCUUCUCCGUUGCUGCCGCUGGAAACAUCUGUUGAUGGGGUUCCACCUCCAUGCUCUUCAGUUGCUGAGGGCGAACGUGUAGAGAGUUUGUCAGAUGAGGCUUUGGUUGAUUCUGCUGUGAAGCUUGGUACUAAAAAUUCUGAAGCUUCCCAGGAUAAUCUAGUUUUGCAAGAAAAUGCAUUGAACGAAAUGGAAAAAACCCUUCCUUCAGCAACUGAGGAUAGAGUUGCAGUGUGCUCACCUGAGAAGGAUAAUUUAACUGCUUGCUCAGAAGCACCCCAGGAAUCUGAAAAGUCUGAAAAUGUGCAGAACCGGUCUGAGGAAGAACCUGGCCAGAGU